UACGUAGGGACCAAGCGUUGUUCGGAUUUACUGGGCGUAAAGGGCGCGUAGGCGGCUUGACAAGUCACUUGUGAAAUCUCCGGGCUUAACUCGGAACGGCCAAGUGAAACUGUCAUGCUAGAGUGCAGAAGGGGCAAUCGGAAUUCUUGGUGUAGCGGUGAAAUGCGUAGAUAUCAAGAGGAACACCUGAGGUGAAGACGGGUUGCUGGGCUGACACUGACGCUGAUGCGCGAAGGCUAGGGGAGCAAACAGG
rnacentral:rRNA from 1 species